rnacentral:rRNA from 1 species
UACAGAGGUGGCAAGCGUUGUUCGGAAUUACUGGGCGUAAAGCGUGCGUAGACGGUUGCGUAAGUCAGAUGUGAAAGCCCCGGGCUCAACCUGGGAAUUGCAUUUGAGACUGCGUAGCUAGGGUGCGGAAGAGGGAAGCGGAAUUUCCGGUGUAGCGGUGAAAUGCGUAGAUAUCAGGAGGAACACCGAUUGCGAAGGCAGCUCGCUGGGACGUUACUGACGCUGAGACGCGAAAGCGUGGGGAGCAAACAGG